rnacentral:sRNA from 1 species
ACAACCGCUAAAAGAGCCGCCGUGUCUGUUGCGACGUCUAGAUGACGACGAGUAGCAAGACUUGAAGCAAACAUCAACACAGGAAUUUACCUCUUUACGGAAUGAUUCGUUCAUCCAGCAGUAAACGAAAGGGUUAUAACAAGUACUGCUGAUAGCGAUCCAGUGGAAAACGAAAAACACCGUACUGUCGUAUCGAAAGACCGUGGCGUCAGGAUGAAAAUCCGUCAGAAUAUGGUAUAAAUUUAGUGGCAUCCAACACAGCGCAAAUAUGACCACUACGGUUAUUAAUAGUUUUAUGCUUUUACGCUUGGCCCGGUUCUGGGAUCGUUGCUGGGAAUGCGUUACUGCUCCCAAAUGUGUUCUCCGCCACAAUUUUCUCACUAUUCGUCCGUAAGAGAAACCUAUAAUGGUCAGAGGAAUGAAAUAUUGAAUAAUCGUGGUCGUUAGUGUUAAAGUCAUUUCAAAUUCUGCUUUGGGUUCUGGAAACACUGCUCUACAUCUUUUUACAAAUCUAGACACGAAAGAGACUUCGGUAACCUCGGUGUAAAUUCCAUAGGGUAGAGACAAGAAAAAGGAAAUUACCCAGAUCAAAACGAGAAUAACAAUUCCCGUGCGUUUUGUAAUCCUUGGUUUCAAUGGGUAUAGAAGUACAUAUUGGCGAUCGAGUGCUAUCGCCGUGAGCGUAAAUGUGGAUACAUAUACAGAUAUCAUCAAGGAAAAGUUCACCAGAUGGCAAAUGAAGUCACCAAAAGGCCAUUCAUCCAACACAUUUCUCGCAAUGGUGAAGGGAACGUUCAGACACGUAACAAACAAAUCUGAGAUCGCCAUGUUUGCAAUGAAGAAAUUGGUCACGGUGUACAUUCUCCUAUUCCGCAUUAUGACGUAACACACUAUACUGUUCCCGAAUAAGGAAAUACAGAUUAGAAUAGCGUAUGCCGUGAUUAAAAUGAUGCUACCCACGACAUGUCUUGUUGUGUCCCUUUGUAAGACGGUGACGUUUGUCUCGUUUGUCGGUAGUUUCAUGUGUAGAUUGAAAGCGGCCACGGCAGACAUGUUCUCGGACCUGUUCACGAAGCCUUUUAGAAAGUCUUCUAUAUGUUGAAUAUGGUCGUAAUAAUCCAUAAUGGAAACAGUUAUCUUUGUGACCACUCUUCUAUCCUUUGCACUACUCAGUGUUCAAACAUGAUGUCUUUCUUAGAUCAUGCCGACGUUCUUUGGAAUAUUUUUUUAAACAGGUGGUUUCAAUAUCUGCUUCACCUGAAAUGAAAUAAACACUUUGUUACAUACAUAAAUAUAUCACCUGACAGGUGCUGCAUCGAACCUUUACAGGUGCACGUAAUCCUUUUAAAAACUAAUUUUAAAAUUCAUUGGAUUAAUAAAUAAACUUCAAUUAACUUAGUGUAAUUGUCCCAUAGAUUAUAUUGAAAACAAAGAAAUAUUUUUGUCACACGUUGUUCCGUUUUCCUCUCAAGGGUUUUGAUAUAUUUUCCGUGACGAAAAAAUGAAUUAAGAAUUUGUCAGUCUUAGUUAUUUCGUGGUAAGGAGAUCAAGGGACUAGAAAGUAUCGUUAAUGAAUAUAGAACUUCGAUUAUUAAUAAAUCAUUACGGACGAUAAUGUGUCGAAAAAAAAUCAAAACAAAACUACGAUGUCAUUUUGUCCUGUCAGAAGAGACAGUUCACAAUUCAUCAUCUCAAACAGAGUGCAUUAAUGGAAAAGCAUGACGUGUUAUGGUUCACCUAUUAAAGAGCUCAUUACAUCAUCAAUUAAUAAUUUUUCAUACCAUACCUUAUAAUUAUCAACUAAUUAAAAAAUGGAGCUCGGUUUCAGAUGGCUAAAUGCUAUUCAUCAUAUUUUUUUUUGGUUUUGUUAACAUUUAAAUACAUUUUUUUUUUCAAAACUUCAAACUGGAUUACAAGUUGUUGAGUUAUAAAAUACAUAACACAUUACUCUAUGGUUCGCACAUGUAUAUUUAAACAAUGCUUUUGUACGAAAAUUUAUUAUGUAUAUACGAUGUUAUUAUGAUUUAUUUAAAAAUAUGCUGAUUUU